rnacentral:lncRNA from 1 species
UUUUCAUGUUGUCAGUACCUGCUUUAGUUGACAGUCCAGUGGGCUUGGGUUUUUUUGUUUGUUUGUUUGAUUGAUUGAUAAGUUUUAUAGGAGUAUUGUGUGUGUGUGUGUUUGUUUGUUUGUUUGUUUGUUUGUUUGUUGAGACAGAGUAGCCUAGACUGGCCUUGAACUCACUAUGUAGCUGAGGGUGGCCUUGAACUCAUGAUCCUCCUGGCUCUAACUUUCAAGUGGUGAUAUUACAAGUGCGUACGUAUAGGAUUUCAGAUGUUCAACACCAUGCUCAGCUUUCUGCUGGGGUGCUGAGGAUCUGACCUCAGGUUCUCAUGCUUCCGUACUGAGCCCAUCCACACUUUGUUCUGUACCUUCCACAGGAGCAGAGGAAUGGGAGAAAGCCAGAAAUCCAUUGAAAGAUACUUUUAAUCCACUUAGGAAUACUUACGUAAAUACAUCUUGAAAACUUAAACUGGAAAUAAGCUUACACCAGAAUGAAACCAGUAGGCUGUGCAGGGGCUGGCUGUGGUCAGGACUCAGCAGGUGAAGGUGCCUGCUGCCCAGCCUGAUGAUCCGAGUCCACUUUCUGGAAUCUCCAUGGUUGACUGCCUCCAAGAGGUACAGUAUACACUUAUCAAGUAAUGGUACGGUUUACUGCUUAGCUAGCCAAUCCUGGAGCCCUGGAUAAUGUGUGCACUGGGAGGAGUCCUGACAGGUGACUUGCCCAAAGUCACAUGGCACAUGUUUUAGAUCUGUCCUUUGUUGAGGGCUAUGGUGCUCUGGCCACCCUGUAAUGUAAUGGCCACUCUGUUGCAUCACGGAGUAGGUUCUGUGGUUCCUGUGAUUCACAGAGCCCAAGGACUUGUCAGUCUAGAGCUAAUCUGUGUUGGAAUCUUAGGUGGUUUUACUGGGAGGUCUGUGCUUUGUUGACCAGGAUCCUGGCUCUGGCUGAGCCCCACAUCCUGGCUAAGCCGCCACCAUUGACUGGCUGGCAGACUGCUGCAUGGAGAGCUUCUGUGAACUUACAACGUCAGUAGGCUGGCUCCUUGAAGCAGCCAGUGUCUUCUAGCCCCUGAAAUGAUCACAGUCUACUUCCGGUUGUUUGUACCUGCUCUCCAUCUGGCCCCUUCUCAGGGACAACUACGGGGAUGGUUCAUUUGAACUUGGGUGGUGUCAGAGCCAUCAUUCAUCAGUGCUUUGGAAUCCAAAUGGAAGCCUGAAUAGUAGCUGCCUUGACAGCAAGCUCUGGUUGCUAUGGCAAUAGGGCAAUCGGGUCUCUCCCAGACCCUGAAGUCAAAAGUAACACCACUGAGCUUGAGCUACAAAGUGGGGAUGCAGCGGUUGACAGGGGUCUUGCUCUUGUUGCUGCGUGUCUCAGGAUGCUGGGUGAAGCAGGGGGCAGUUGGGAGUGAGCUCUGCCUUCCAUCUGAUUUGCCUGCCUGGCCUCUAGUUCACAUAUGGAGACUGAGUACCUAGUGGCAUGGGUGGUCCAGUGAUGACUUGGGAAUAGGCAUCCAUUUAACACACAGCAAUGGCACCUGCAUCUCAGGGACAUUAGCCUGGAGUUCUGUGAACACCUGUUCUCCUGUGUCUCUAGCAUGCUAAGCACCGCGGUCAGAAAUUAA